GAGCUUUGGCAGCACGUAUAGUAAAAUCAGAAUGAUACAGAGAAGAGUAUCACAGCUGCUGUGUAAGGACGGCAUGCAGGUUUAUGAAGUCUUCCAUAUCCUU